AGCGAGCCAGUUCUGAUAUGAAACGCAUAUGGUCUUCUCUGAUUUGGAUCAUCUGCUCACAUAUAUUGUACUGGGGACUGCUGCUGGAAGACGUGCACGUCCAUCUCGAUUUGUUUUCCUCAUAAUGGGCACUUGUCUUGAUGUAUCUUGCAAGUUCAAUCUGCAUAUCACCAAAGAGCGGGACAACCUGCAGCUGCUUAAAGAAUUUGUCAAUCUUGGCUAAAUUUAUCCUCUUUUUUGCAUCCAGCUUGUAGAUGUUACUGACACUUCCAUCCAUCAGGUACAAUCCAAAGCCCAUAACUUUCAAAAGCAUGUGUUUCUCGCUGGGCGUUAGAUACAUUUUGUUUUCAUAGUAGUCCACACACAGAUUCACAAUAUCUGCAAGCAGUUCUUCAUAGCCAACGAUUACCUCCAACUGCUGUUGUAAUGACUGUGUUAUCUUGUUGUGGUUAGCAAGGAACAUGGAGAGAUUCUGGGACUCUUGAAUGGACUGAGGAUCCGCCAUUUUCCGUAGGAACUGAGCAGCUCUCUUGUAGGCUGAAUGGUCAUUUUUCACACUGCACUUCAUAUUUUUCAGCUCAUCUAGUACUGCAAACAUGUUGAUAAAUUUGCCCAGUGUGAUCAGAUAUGCUUCAGAGACAAAGUCUUUUCUCCUCUCUGCAUGGCACAAGCGUCUCACCUCCCCACAAAAACGUUCAAUUGCGUUUCUCUGGAAAUACAUAAAAUUCAUCAGCUUGGUGACUUCUGGCUCCAGCACUUCUACAGUUUUCUCAUAAAUUUCUACCCUGUUAGGCUGCUCGUUGCACUUAACCUGGGGAAUGGCUCUUGAGCAGCUCCUCCAAGUAUAUAACAUGACAGCAUAUUCCUGGCCCUCUUCUAACAUUUCAUUCAUGCUAGAGUGGACUGUAGCUUGCUCAAUGUAUCUCGCAAUGCCAGUGACAAACGCAUUUCUGUCCUCAAAGUUAGUGUUGAAGUUUGGCUGGUAAAGCAGAGAUGAUGGUGGGGGUUCAAUACACGGUUGCUGAUCUGGCAAUGGUAAUUCUUCCAAGAGAUCCACAUUGGAUAAGGCAUCCUCCAGUGUUACUUGAGCAGUCAUUUUGCACCCGCUCCGCGCCGCCGGCUCCCGGGAACGGCGCUGCCCGGCGGCGGGGACCCGUCCGGGGCUCGGCUCGGCUGAGAGCGGCGCUGGGCCGGCUGCUCGCUCCUGGGCCGCGCCCGGCGGGGAGUUUCCUGUGUGAGUCACCGGACUGGGAGCCGCGCAGGGAAACACCCUUCCUGCGACCCAGCCCCUCCUCCCGCCGCCCGUCCCAAGCCUGCCGCCCCUUCCCUUCCUUCCCGCCCGGGCCGGCCCCUCCUCCCGCCCGGCCUGCCGGCGUCUUGCUCAGACAACGGAGGCUUGUUUCGUUGGUAUACGAAAGGCCGUGCUCCCGGCCGAGCUGCACUCCGAAUGCCUGAGGGGACGGCGGUCCCGGGUGACAUUCGUCUGUGUGGAAAACUAACGUGGUUUCUUUCCUUCCCUUCACCUCUUUGGCAGGACGCUGAAGCGCUGCUGUUAAUAGAAAACCAGCAAAACCAAGAACGUCUAUUUCCCCACCUUUGAUUUUUCUAUGGAACACAACGACCACGUAAGUACUUCCCCCGUUUAAAACGUGCUUACCUCUUUCAGAGUGCUCUCCUACUUGCAGUUCUGCUUUUCUUCUGUUUCUUCAUCCUUCAUCAGAUGAACGUGGAGGCAUUAUCACAAUACGAAACUGCUGCUGCUUCCUCACAGGCUGUCAGAAUCGUUGUGAGUGAGGGUAGGCUGGGUAAACAAACCUGCUACGGGUAGGGGUUACUGCCAGCUUACGGCUUGGAAAGUUCCAGAGCACCUUGGUAUUUCCCCAAAGCCUGCUUGCUUGUAAUUGGAUUAAGUUGUACCCAACAUUUUUCACUAUUGAAGUCUUCUGCCGGCAUCAGCAAACUAGGCAGUACUGCUGGAGCAAGCAACUUUCUGUCUUUGCUUUCAACAGCUGAUGGGCUGGGUUUGGGGUUUGUGUUUUGGUUUUGGUUUUUUUUGCUGAGAAGAGAACAAUGAUCCUUCACUUGGUGGUGUUUUUUUCGAGUUUCCAUUGUACUAAGCUUCCUUAAAUAGCCUUCUUGUCAUAGCCUCGGGAAAGUGGGAAUAAGUUGCAAAGGCCAUCAUUCUCAGUACUUCAACUACAGUCUUAUCAAAUUAUUCCACCCGUUCCACAUCAUCAAGAAUUCUGACAGUCUGUGGAGAAUUUCUGCAUCAUUUCAGAAAGUUACCAUUUCACCACGUUCCUGGCAUAUCUUCAGUUAUUUUUCCAGCGCUGGUCUAUUGAAGUUUACUUUCUAGGAUGUGGCUGCUUGUUCUUCUCUGAGAGGAUAUUUCCAUAAUGUAUGUUAUAGAAUUGAUUGCAUUGGAAGGGAGCCUUAAAGGCCGGCUAGUUCAACUCCUCUGCGAAGAACAGGGACACCUACAGCUACAUCAGGUUGCUCAGAGCCCCACCGUCCAGCCUGACCUCGAAUGUCUCCAGGCACGGGGCAGCCACCACUUCUCUGUGCAACCUGUUUGUAUCGAUGGAAUUAAUUUCACCCAUCACAGCCCGUGAUCUGUAGCUUCCUAGCUCAGUGAAAACUGCAGAAGACAAGCAGAGCCAGACGCUUCCGUUUCUAGCUGAUACUGCAAGCUACCAUACGCUUUGUCAUAAACCUAGUGCAAUGAGGUUGUUUAAUUAAAAAAACUCACCUUCAUAAUGAAAGAUUGGUUUCAUUUCCUUGUCCCCAGUGAGCACAAAGUUGACAACAGCACUGCCUUAGUGCAGCACUUGGCCUCCAUCAGCACUGAGACCUGUUCCCAAGCCACAAGUGAAGCAAGGGAGACUUGAAACAUGCUGUGUCUGCACGCACUACACAGGGAACUUACUCUAAAGCUAAAAGCUCUCAGUGACAUCUGAUCAACAGCAGUUUGCCUCCAGCUGAGUGAUACUGCUUAGACUUCCUGGGAGCACAGCUCCCACCUUUGCCAAAAGUCAGCCAGCACCAGGAGCGGCUGCUUCACCUUAUCCUAAGGAUUGGCUGACGUCCCAAGGUCUUCCCGUGCUCCGUCUGAAGCGUUUGAGUGACUGAGACAUCUCCCCACUCGUGGAGCAGUGUGCUCUUCACUAACAUUCCCAUACUCAAAUUCCAUAACGUCAGCUGAAAAAUACUGAUAAUUGACUAUAUGCAGCUUUUUUGUCUAUCAAGAUCUUUUCUACUUUUUUCUGCAUUGGAAUUAGAAGACGAUCCCAUUUCACCAUCUGGAUAUUUACAUUCUCAUGUAACAUGAGGCAUGCUUAUCAGUAUUACAUUCUGGAAUGCCCCCAUGACUCCUUGCUUUCCAUUUUUGUGCAAUUUAAGUACUGCAAUGACUGUACUUGAUGAAGGACUUCAGUGGGCCUUCAUGACCAGCUUCUCCUUUUACUGUAUCAUCCCUCUUAUUCUUGCACCAGUGAAUACAGGCCUUCUGGGCCUGGCUAAAGAUAUACAUAUCUGCAUAUACUUGAUCAUUACCUGAUGUCCUACCCACUACAAGGUAGGUGUGGCUUUUAUGAUGCCAAUGACUAGAAUUAGAAUCUCAAACAGACCUUUCUUGGGUGGUAUUUAUUUAAACUCACUAUUUAACCUGUCACUAUUAUCUUUACUGAGAUCUGUAACACCAAUUUGUUAUGCUCCUGACAAUUUCUGUACCUUAUAUCUGCAUCAGAUGAACAUCAGAUAGUAAGACAGUAAAAGUUUAACCCGAUUCCCUGCAGAUCAGAUAAAGCCUUUGUUCAAAGCUCUAUGCUAGCCAUGCUAACCACAGAUACCCACAAGAUUAUUUCCUGAAUUCCAGCUGGUUUUGUUCUAUUUUGAAUUCCUUUCUCUGGGUUGUACAGUAUUUGUCCAAGGUCUAUGAAUGAAAAUCAUCUGCAGAAACCCACAGGAUUUCAUUCCAUGUCAUUCUAUGUGUAAGAACAGGUUAGACAGAAGUCCUGAGGUCCUGCUUAUGUAUGUCUAAGAUGCUUAUGUACUCCAGUUUUACACCUUUCCACCCAGCUAUCUUAGUGAUGAAGCUUCAUAGCGUGCCUACUUAUCAAUUUAAUUUUUACCUGCUGAGUCCAUACUGAUCUUUUUAUCCUCACAAAGGAGAUAACGCAACACAGGAACGUGCUGUGAUCUGUCAUGAUCCAACACAGAAAGGUAUUUAUGAAGCCACCAUGGGGAAUGGCCACAAGGACACCCAGAACAGGACACCAUGCAAAACUACAAAGAAAAGUGGUAAUUGUCUCCAAGUCAGUUAAAAAAACCAAAACAAACCACACCUGCAGCAAAAAGUCAGCCAGCUGUCCACACUCUGAAAGACUGGAAAAAAAUGCCUGACAUAAGGAGUCAGUACACACUUAAUUUUGCAUCCGACAUGACAAAUGGUUUAAAGCAGAGCAAGACUAUGGAACUACUCCAUACUCCUGUCCAUAAAAUAGGGCUGUUGCUUCAGUUCUCAGGAGAUGGGCAGAGCACUUGGAGAGUGUUUCCUGCGUCCACGUCCCAUCUCUGCCAAGCAAGCAACACUCAAAUAUAAUUCCCUCACUAGGACUCAUCUAAGGCUCAUCUAAUGGUGGUCAUUUUAUUAGCUAUCUAGAUGCCAUGACCAACAACCCCAUACAGCUUUCCCAGCAAUAAAAGCAGUGCAGGAACAAGUCACAGCAUGAUCCAAUGACUACAAAUUACAGAGAUGUGGGAAUGUUUUUCUAUAAGCGAGCAAAAGAGCAUAGGAGGAAAGCUGGCAACAUGUAAAUCUGUAGAGUUAAUAAGACAAAAAUGCAGCUGGGGGGUGGACUUUUUAUGGUUUUUUAUGAGCAUGCAAUUUAGAGAUGGUCUUUUUAAUCCACGCUACCAAGGAAACCAUGCAAUCAGCAACUGCUUGCUAACUGUUCUUGCUAUCAAUAGCUUGACACUAGCAAAGGUCCCGAAGGACCUAGUUAAUUAGGAGGUUAUUAAACUAAACAACAAAGAAAGCAUUAGAGAAUUGCUGAAAUCUAUUCUAACAUGGGGCCUCGAUAUGAUAAAAGAUGACAGGAAAGAGAAGGAAGAGGAAGAGAAGUACUGAGGCUGAUAGACAAGGGCCUCUACAUUGUAACUUCUGACAGAGUGUACCCAGAAGUUAGAGAAGAAAAAAUAAAUUUGGAAAUAAAGUGUAGAGUUAACUGUGACAGCAUCCGAUAAUGCAGUUUUUCUUUUUUUUUUUCCCUAAGAUUCUUAGACAUCUGAUGUAACAUCUUACCUUGAACACUAUAAUCUUUUCUAAUACCAUUUAGCCAGAUCCUUACUUUUAAGUACCUAAAUCCAUGCUUGCUGUUUCACCCAGAUUAGUGCUGCUUUAUAAAAUCAUUCACUCCUCCAUGCUCAGAAUCCCAAAAGAGCAAGUAAAGCAUAUACAAAUGCUGCAUCUUCUUGAAGAGAAGGAUCCCAAAUUUAAGAUUCAAAUCAGAGAUAACUGACGGAAAUUGGAAUUUGUAAACAGUCAAAAACAUCCAAAACAAAUGGACAUGGGGUGGAAUCCAACUAACAGCACUGCUCUCUAAAGAGAUCGGAAGAUGUGAGACCUUUUUUUGAUCUGAAAUUUGAGCAAAUAGCUGAAGUACCCAAAACUUCACCAAAAACCUCUUUUCUGAAUAGGUAAACCUUUAUUUAGCCACUGCCAGAAGGUCAGAGAAGGGUCUUGGUAGCAUCACAAGCCGUACGCACCAAAACCAAAGGACUUAUUCUUCCACGGUUCUAAACAGAGAGAAAGGGAGGCCGUAAGAUGGGUAAAUUCAAGGGUAUUCAUCAGCUGAGUACUAGUGCUACACAAAAAGCUAAGCAUAGAGGAUGUCUCUGACUAGAAUUGGCCACACUGCCACAGCCAGAUUUUGUACUGUGCUUUUAUGACAACAGAAGAGCAAAUUAACAUCGGAAUUUGGUUGAAAAACUGUGUGCAAGCAUCACCCACCUCCAAUGUAUGUGGAGGUAUCUCUACAGAAUGCAAGGUUAUCUUCCUAAUAGGAAACUGAGUGAAACAGAAAAUUCUUUCACUAGCAUUUUACUUACAAAAUAAGUAAAAGCUGUAAAGGAAUUUACUAGGAAUCAGGUUUCCAACAGCAGGAGGGGCUGAUUUCUUUUCCCCCCCAUACUUAGUCAAUACUAUCCAAGUCUAAGAAAAGCAGGAAUUUCACUGAAGGUAAAGGUAACCGCUGCAUACAACAGAAGAAUAAACAACUGCUUCUUAAAAUUUUCAAAAGCAUGGAGUAGAUGACACACAUACACUCGAAAAGUAAUAAGCCAUUACAUACAAGCACUGAACUACAUUUAAAACUACUAUUAUGCUAUUCCGUUUUACUCUGAAUAAGCAGCAUUUAGUGAAAACACACUUUCUGCAUGCAAUACAUAACAUGGAUUCUCAAAUGAGAACCACUCAUGCCAAAAUGGCAGUCGUUUUGUUAAUAGCUGUCCACCUAUCACUCAGCGCAUCCUCUUGGAAAGCUGUAUCGUGUGGUAGAAGAGAACAAUGCAAAAUAUUCCCUAAAGCCAAACCUCCACCCAGUUAAAAACAAAAAACAAACAAACAAAAGCCCUAACUUUGCAGGAACCUUUUGAGAUCUGUCGUUUACACAAGAUUCACAGUAUUUAUACGUAUAAAGUAAUGCAGCAAUUCACAGCUCCAAAAACCAGUUUUAUAACGCGAGCCACUGUUUCACAGCUAUUAUUAGUAUACAGCGCUUAUAUAGCAGAAACGCCUCUCUAACUUCAGGAAGUUACCACUUCGAUUCAAGCAGAAACUCACCCACAACGGUCAAAUUCCAAUUAUUUAAUCUUUUAUUUAUUCAAAUAAAAAGGCAAAUGGCUGUGAUUUUCUCGUUUAAAAUGAAAUGUAGGCAUAUUCAUGUCAGAAUGACAAAAGGAUCACGGGGAUGUAGCAGGGUUGCAGAACAAGCCCUGCAUCCACUUCUCUCAAGAUGUAUCCUUUCUGUAUUAUGAUCUUUACAAGAUAUUAACUAUUAGAUGAAUGGUUUGUUUGCAAAAGGCUUCGAAGGAGAAUGAUCAAGUUGUAUCUGAUAACCUGUGAAACAUCUCAGCAAUCCAACAGGUAAAACCAAUAUAUUUCAUACUGUAAUCUUCAUCAUGCUUAAACUGACAAGUUUACCACCAAAAUUAGUAUGCUUUCAUCAUUUAACACCAAAAACACCAGUAUUUUAUGGCCUGCAGUAAUCCACUUCAAUUAAGUUAAUGUUGUUUUUUUAAUAUCAGGUUAUUGUAACAGUCAUAAUUGUUCCCAAAGAGUGCUUAAGAGCCAUUAAGCAAACAAGAUAAAUGGCUCUUAGCUUCUUUUUUUCCAAAGGAAAAAAGGCCAAAAUGAACUCAACCAAUUAUAAGAACUGAGUCACACCACUGCACAGUGCCCUGUGACCUAGUCACAGCUGCAAAAUUAAUGGAAACAGCAAAUCAGCAAUUAUUCAUCAUCAUCAUCAUAAAAACUAAACAAAAAAAAAUCCUUUAUACAGCACGAAAUACACUUUGUAUAUUUCAAGCAAGAUUGUUCACGCAGGAUGCAUUUUACAAUGCACAUUUUUUCAUGUUAAAGCAUAUACAUACAGAGAACAGUACAGCCACAACCAAUACACUUAAAUACCUGUACAUUAUUUACAUCUGAAAAUACUUUACACAACUCCAAACCAUCCGCGUCGUUUAACCAUAUACGUUUCAAAAUGGAGUGUAAAAUGCUUCCAGUUAACAAAGGACAUUCGACAUACAUGCUGCUUUCAGCUGUUCAGCAGCUCAGCAGGUUUGGGCGCUAGCUCUGUUCCAUGCCGGCCAUCAGUGACAGAGCUAAAGAUUCCACUGUGAAUCAAACCAUUUAGAAAGUGAGCAUCUGCACUUACAUCAGCCUGCAAACAUUCACUGUAAUACUCAAUUUCAUAGUUGAAAUGGAAAACACCAGUUUAUUUCUUAAAUGUUAACGCUUCAAGAUUUCAGAUGGUAAGAUAUUUUCAAUGUUAUGAAUUUCUGACAUUUCUUACUGAUGGUUAACUGGUAAGAACUGGCAAGAAAUAAGCUCCUUUGUCUGAAAUACUAAUGGCUGCAAACAGAACACUGAAUAAAAGCUGGGGGGAAUUACGUGCGGUUAGCCAUUCUCACAGACAGUUCUUGCAGACAACCUCUUACUGACUGAUAAGAUGGGCUAUUUUAGAAGCCCAUCUCCCUUCCCUAUUAGAAAGGGCUGAUCUCAGACGAGAAACAGGUGAACGUGCAUCUAAAUCCUAGCUAAUUCCAUUCAGAAGUCACACCCUAGCUCUAAGUGGCACUGACAACCCAUUUAAGCUAGUAUCAGGCUGCAAGUAGAAGCACAAAUAUCCUUUUCUGCUGUUUCUGGUACUGAGUAACCUCCAGCAGGCAGUCAAGAGCACAGGGGCAGAUGCAGCUAAGGCAUCAAAAUAUUAAAACGUUAUUUGUUGCCCAGCUGUCACCUAGCAACAUCAAAAAUGCUUGUAUGUGCUCUUCAGGUCUUUGUUUUAAUUACUUAUUUAGAAGACCGCCUUGGCUGUAUCAGUCAAGGGAUACAGGCUGAGGGAGCUGGGCUUGUUCAGCCUGGAGAUGAGAAGGCUGCAAGGAGACCUCAACUGCACACUUCCAGUAUUUAAAAGGGGAUUAUAAACAGGAGGGGAAUCAACUUUUUACAAGGGUAGACAGUGAUAAGACAAAGCGGAAUGGUUUUAAGCUCAAGGAGAGAAGGUUUAGAUUGGAUGUCAGGGGGAAGUUCUUUACAGAGUGGUGAGGUGCUGGCACAGGCUGCCCAGAGAGGCUGUGGAUGCCCCACCCCUGGAGGUGUUCAAGACCAGGUUGGAUGGGGCCCUGGGCAUCCUGGUCUAGGGCCACAUCUGGAGGUUGGUGGCCUUGCCUGUGGCAGCGGGUUUGGAACUUGAUGACCCUUGGGUUCCUUCCAACCCAAGCCAUUCUGUGAUCCUAUGAUCCUCUCUUCAAGCAAACAGGUCAACUGAAGAUAGUUGUCAUGAAAAAUAAAUGAUGGUACAUAUAUUCUAAAAUGAAUUAAUUCAACUUAUUCGGAAGUAAGGCUUUAUGUUUCUCCGAAUACUUCAUUUAUUAUUUUCACAAAUGAGAUUCCUUAAUCUGUACUGACAAAUAGAUUAAAACUUAAAUACAUUUUGUGUGAUGAGUGCAGGUAUAUGAAAAGCAUCGUGUACUUACAGUGAGGAAAUGAGCCUCGGCAGACAGCUUUGUUGAGGACAGUUACAAGAAACAUGUGGCAGUUUUUAAAAUCAGAUUCCAUUUUCUCUAUGGAUUCCAUCCUACAAAGAAGUAUAAGAGAGGUACACUUACCAGUCAGUCAAGCAACUGUUACCUUCAAAACAUAACCAAAACUUCACAGUAAACGACCAACAUGUUCUUUGCAUUGCAUUCCAUCUUGAACAUGAACUAUUUCAGUCAUAUCUGAGUAUGCCACUCUAGAAUCUAAACCGUGGCCAAUUUAGACUGGAGUGCCUGAACACUAUCAGACUGGCAUUACUAAUGAUUUUGUCAUCCCCUUGUAAGUAUCUGCAGUUACUAGGAGGAGGUUUGUGGUUUCAGGUGAUGAGAACUACUAUUUUCUGAGGUAUUCAAAGGAAUUUCAAGACAGCCAUUCCCAGUCCCAAUUGUUUUGCAGCUCUCUGGGAUAAACUUACACUGCCAAAUAAAACAGGGACACAUAGCAGGUUAAAUAGGGCCCCAGUCACCCACACUGCUUUCUUAUUACAGAAUCACAGAACAACACACAACCGUACGGGCAGGAAAGGACCUCUGGAGAUCACCUAUUCUCUACAUGAAAAAUCUUCACCCCGAAGUCAACUUUCAUAGACUUCAACAUUUCUACAUUUUUGCCCUUGAAAUUUUGGCAUAGGUUUUAUAAUGUGGACAGUCUAUGUUAGAAAAAUAAGGUUAUUUAGGAGUUAGAUUUAGAUUUAUUUUUAAGAAAGACGAAAACGUACUGCCUUCUAGAAUGAAAGUCAUGCAAAACAAUCUCACUUUUCGUGAACCAAUAGGUGUCAGCAUCUGGCUGCCUAUAACUUUAAAUCACAGCCAGAAAACAAGAUGAUAAACAAAACCUAUGAACAUCCCAUCUUAUCAUUGCGAACAAAUACGGAUGAAAACCUCUUUUUGUUGCUACGCUCUACAAUCUUUGCAGAUUCUCUAAAGACACAUAUGAACCAUCCUUGUAAUUAGAAAAUACCGAACACACACUCACAGAAGCGUAUGAAACUCGUCUAUGUAUGAAAUCUUAUCUGAGAUGAAUUUCACUUUUGUUAAGAAAUAGCGAUUAGCUUCUGGUAUCUUCCGUUAAACAUCUCAAAAGCACAUUCUGAGCUGUGAAAUCAUGACUGUGUAUCAUUUUAGGUACGUAUACUUACUUCCAAGCCCCCAAACCCGCUUGCCAACGGUCUGCAAACAUCAGCACUAAAUUUAAAACUUUCAUUAUAGCUUCCUUCACAAAGCUCACCUAAAGUAACAAAACAAAAGCAGCAACAGUAAGAAAAUAAUUGUUAAUGAAUCGCGUAAUCAUUUUCAUUAAAGGCACAGAAGUAUCCUACGCCAUUUAAUCUCAUCUGUAAAAAUGGUCUCCAAGGUGUAACACGUCUGCCCAGUUAAGACGUGUUUUGUAUUUGCCCUCAUUCAUUUUGUGAUUAUUUCAAUGAGGAUUAGUACAGGCAGUAUAUGAGACAGAUGACUGCAACAACAGACAUGUCCGCGUUUCCUACCACACUAGCGUGUACAAUCCUCCCUACAUUUCCAAGCCUGUUUGGUCAAAUCCCAGCAUCUCUAAAAAACAAAUGUAUGUAAACUCCAAUGUAAAUAAUUUAAUUUUCUCUCCUUCAUAGAAAUGAAGCUGAGACUUGCAAGAG
rnacentral:lncRNA from 1 species